rnacentral:rRNA from 1 species
UACGUAGGGUGCGAGCGUUGUCCGGAAUUAUUGGGCGUAAAGAGCUCGUAGGCGGUGUGUCACGUCGGCCGUGAAAACCUGCAGCUUAACUGUGGGCGUGCGGUCGAUACGGGCAUCACUGGAGUUCGGCAGGGGAGACUGGAAUUCCUGGUGUAGCGGUGAAAUGCGCAGAUAUCAGGAGGAACACCGGUGGCGAAGGCGGGUCUCUGGGCCGAUACUGACGCUGAGGUGCGAAGGCGUGGGGAGCGAACGGG